AACGCACAUUGCGCCCCCUGGUAUUCCGGGGGGCAUGCCUGUUCGAGCGUCAUUUCACCCCUCAAGCCUGGCUUGGUGUUGGGGCACCGCCUGUAAAAGGGCGGGCCCUCAAAUCCAGCGGCGAGCCCUGUAGGCAGACCGAGCGUAGUAGUUCUCUCUCGCUCUGGGAAGUCCUAAGGGAACAGCCGUUAAACCCCAACUUCUGAAAUUUGACCUCGGAUCAGGUAGGAAUACCCGCUGAACUUAA
rnacentral:misc_RNA from 1 species